GCCGUUCUUUAAAAAAAGAAGGUCCAAGCCUGCCCAGUGAAUUUUUAACGGCCGCGGUAUCCUAACCGCGCGAAGGUAGCAUAAUCACUUGUUCUUUAAAUGGGGACUCGUAUCAACGGCAUCACGAGGGUUUUACUGUCUCCUCUUUUUGAUCAGUGAAAUUGAUCUUCCCGUGAAGAAGCGGGAAUACUCAUAUAAGACGAGAAGACCCCAUGGAGCUUUAAACCAAAUAGCAACUUAACCACAUAUUACCCAAUAACUUUAAGUCCGUGCUAUAAGGUUUUUGGUUGGGGUGACCGCGGAGUAAAGCAUAUCCUCCACGACGAAAAGCCCACAAGCUUUAUUUAAGAACUACAAUUCUAGAAAUUAGCAUACUAACGUUUACUGACCCGAUAAUCGAUCAACGGAACAAGUUACCCUGGGGAUAACAGCGCAAUCUACUUCAAGAGCCCAUAUCGACAAGUAGGCUUACGACCUCGAUGUUGGAUCAGGGUAUCCCAGUGGUGCAGCCGCUACUGAAGGUUCGUUUGUUCAACGAUUAAAACCCUACGUGAUCUGAGUUCAAACCGGA
rnacentral:rRNA from 1 species